UUUCCAGUAUAGCUUGCCAUCCCACCA
rnacentral:misc_RNA from 1 species